AAUAAAAUUGGAUGAGGGACAGCAUGGCGGUGCAGUGACUGGUGUUGCUGCUUCACAGCUCCAGGAUCCCUGCUUUGAUCCUGAGAUUGGACUGUGUGAGGUUCACAUGCUCUCUCUAUGUUCCUGGGGGUUUCCUCUGAGUUCUCCAGUUUCCUCCUACUGUUUAAAAACAUGCAGAUGCAUGUGCAUGUUCAUAAUCACAAAAUGAGAGACCUGAACUGAGGACCGCCGACAUCCUGGCUGCCAUUAAUUUUGAACUCUUGUAAUUGGUGGUGGAUUCAGCUUGAGUAGAAUAGUGGAGAUGCAUGUGCAUGUUCCUGAUGGUACUGAACUGUAGCAUUUUCAUGUGCAUAUAACAGCUUACUGACUAAUACCUGCAAUGUAAAUUCAUGGUGGAGGAUUGUAAUUAGACAUUUUAGUUGGUGGAAGUAAUCUGGUAAAAAUGCAGAAAACAUUCAAGCUAGUUGCUUCAGGCCCGAUGGGACAGUCAAGCACUACUGCGAAACCAACAGACUGGUCGUUAUGUUUCUUGUGCCAAACAGAUGAUGCAGGAUUAGGUGAACUGAAAUGUCCAGCAAGGAGAACAGAAGAAACAUCUGGUUAUGAUUACAUUGCAAAUAAUCUUUCAGAAUUUGACAAAAUCAAUCGUGUGCCUAUGAAUAUAAAUCUGAAUAAGUUGAAUGAUGGUCAGGGCAUAGUAGAGACACUCAAGGCUCAUAAAGCUGUGUACCAUAAAGUCUGUUAUGACAGAUGUAACAAACAAAAGCUUCAAUGAGUGUAUAAGAUGUCCUUUU